UAUGUGAUCGUCUCUCCAUAUCAAUAAGCGGAGGAAAAGAAACUAACAAGGAUUCCCCUAGUAACGGCGAGUGAAGCGGGAAGAGCUCAAAUUUGAAAUCUUAAAGGGUUUCCCUUUACGAAUUGUAGUUUAAAGAAGUGUUUUCUGUUGAGGUUUUGGUAAAAGUUCUUUGGAAUAGGACAUCAUAGAGGGUGAGAAUCCCGUAUUUGACCUUUACUUUCAACUUUGUGAUACACUUUCAAAGAGUCGGAUUGUUUGGGAAUGCAGUCCAAAAUGGGUGGUAAAUUUCAUCUAAAGCUAAAUAUUGGCGAGAGACCGAUAGCGAACAAGUACCGUGAGGGAAAGAUGAAAAGAACUUUGAAAAGAGAGUUAAACAGUACGUGAAAUUGUCAAAAGGGAAGCGUUUGACACCAGUGUUGUUUUUCUGAAAAUCAAUUAAAGAACUGUUUAUGCUAAGUUGUUUAGACUUUAUCAGCUAACUGUUUAGUUUAGAGCUUUUCUUUAAUGCACUUUUCAGUUAACAAGUCAACAUCAAUUUCUUUUGCUGUAAAAAAGCUUGAGGAAGGUGGCUUGAGAUUCGUCUUAAGUGUUUAUAGCCUCUUGCCUAUGCAGUCGGAGAGAUUGAGGUCUGCAGCGUAGAUCCUUCGGGGCUAAAUGCAUUUGUGCUAAGUUAUAGCAUUUUAUAGACAACUUGUUGACUAUGAUUUGUCUUGUAGCUUACUCGCUUAUGUUAUUUUACCUACGCUUAGGAUGUUGAUCUACAGAGCGAGAGU
rnacentral:rRNA from 1 species